UACGAGAGGCCCAAACGUUAUUCGGAAUUACUGGGCUUAAAGAGUUCGUAGGCGGCGCGGAAAGUAGGGUGUGAAAGCCCUCGGCUCAACCGAGGAAUUGCGCUCUAAACUACCGUGCUUGAGGAAGCUAGAGGUGAGCGGAACUGAUGGUGGAGCGGUGAAAUGCGUUGAUAUCAUCAGGAACACCGGUGGCGAAGGCGGCAUCCUGGACCAAUUCUGACGCUGAGGAGCGAAAGCCAGGGGAGCAAACGGG
rnacentral:rRNA from 1 species